rnacentral:rRNA from 1 species
UACGGGGGGAGCAAGCGUUGUUCGGAUUUACUGGGCGUAAAGGGCGCGUAGGCGGUCGUGACAAGUCACUUGUGAAAUCUCCGGGCUUAACUCGGAACGGUCAAGUGGAUACUGUCGGACUAGAGUACAGAAGGGGCAACUGGAAUUCUCGGUGUAGCGGUGAAAUGCGUAGAUAUCGAGAGGAACACCUGCGGCGAAGGCGGGUUGCUGGGCUGAUACUGACGCUGAGGCGCGAAAGCCAGGGGAGCGAACGGG